AAUCAAUUUGCGAAUCAUCUCGUCAUCAUUAUGAUAUAGUUCUAUAUAAUCUCCCUUGCCCGCAUUAUCUAUAACAGACAGACUGCCUGUUCAUUUCCCUUUAGAAAGGAAGCUAUAUGUGUUGUUUUAAUCGGGAAUAGAGUAAUCUCAUUAACUUGUCGGAAACGGGCUGGGCGGAAAAUGAAUAUUGUUUGCUGGACAUAAUCAACUCGUAUGUAGUCGUAUGCUACUGCUGCUGGCCAUAGUAGAUGAGUGUCGAACACCAUAUCCUUUGCACACUCUUCUACUGUGAAUGCAGUAACUGUAGCUGUUGGGAUACACUACUGCAAUGGAUGGCCAAAACAACACUACAGUCGAAAGACGGAGCGGGAAGCAGAGAAUCAUCAUUGCAGUGGUGAUGACGGUUUUCAUCGUCAUCGUAGUCGCUAUUCUAGCAGGAGUACUCGCAACGAGAAAAUGACACCACGACAACCAUCAAACUACCAACAAGAGAACGCUUCAUAAAAGGACUUGAUAGAGAUUCAUCCGAAAAAAUAUGUUACCAUAGAAACAGGCGGACACUCGUCCUUCUCAGACAUAACCAACAUGACCAAGGGAAGUUUUCAGAUUUUGUCGGAUGAAGAAUUUCGAUGAAACGUUGCCAAUGUGAGAUGCUCCAUCUACCAACAUGAUACUGGAUCGCAUCAUGCGGGAUGAUGAUCGUUCUUAGCUCUCAUAAGAUGCGUUCCCAGUAUGAUCAAUGUUGGUAGAUGGAUAUUUCCCUCGGUUUCCAUCAACUAUGCAUGUACCUUUACGAUGCUGCAAUGAUGCAGAUACGAAGCUGCAAGAGCACAGUCUCUCCGAUGCUGCAGGAAACAAGGUAACGAGAUCACAGGAGACAUAAUUAACGAAUCUCCAAAUAGUGGAUGGAUCAGCUAAUAUAGAGAGAACCAUGGGAAUGUCCUGUAGGAGGGUUUAAUCAAUGUUGGUAGAUGAAUAUUUCCCUAGGUUUUCAUCAUGGACCUACAGCUGCGAAUGUCUUGUUGUUCCUUGAUCUUUACUGAGCCAUUAUUAGAGAGUGAAAGAACGCAGGAAGCAGGCAGCAUGUUGAGGGUUUGUCAGUUCUUUAACUUGGUAUAUAUGUUGCAAUAUUAUUGUGCACAAUAAUCUUAUAGCCCCUCAAAUCCGAGUCCUUUGUCUGGUCUAGACCGGUCUAAUGACGAACCGGCUCAGGAAAUCUCAUCUUAUCAAACACCCUCAGAAUUUUGUAUGUGGGUUGUCGCGUUCUUCCAGAGAAGUGAAAGCAAUGGUAUUAUAUAAGCAGCAUAGGUUACAUUAUUGGCUGACUUUACAUGAUGAGUCCUGCUUUGAGUCCUCUCACUUUGUUCCCUCGAUCUUUUUAUAGCGCACCGUAUCCCAAACUCGGCCCCUUCAAAUUUCUGAAUCAUACAUAUGCCCCCUUAAGAACAAAUCGUAUAGUGGAAUCUUCUCACGUAACACGUAGUACUGUUUGUCGCCAUCAGUUGACAACGAGUUAAACAUGACCAUGAUGAUGAUGCUUGAGAUUCAGAGUUAAAUAACUUGAGCGUCCAUAAUACCACUCUCAAGUAUUAAACGCCUCUUAUCAUAAACAGGAAGAAAAAACUAGAACUAGGGAGUGUUUCAUAAAAAGUUCUGUCGGUGUUUUUCAGGUUAAAUGUUAUAAGCUAUGGAAAAUUCUAGCAGCUGAUUGGCUGAGGACAAACCAGUCGAUGAUUAUCAUUGAAAAAGCUUUUCUUAUGAAUCAAUGAAUUCUCUUAUCUGUAGUUUCAAAUGACAAGAGAUGAAAUGUGAAUCGUCACUUACAAAU